rnacentral:lncRNA from 1 species
UUUUGAUUUAGUAUAUCUCUGGCAUGCUUUCAUUGUAGGAAACACUUGUGCAUGUUAGUUUCCAAAACUUCCUACUGAAGGAUGUGCUCUUCAAGAAACCAGAUGAUAAUCUCAUUAAAAUAUGAGGCAGUAGAAAAAUGUGUCUACAGUUUCACAGCUUUCACCAAACCAGCAAUUGGAUGUUGCAAGGUGGGAAACAAUCACAGCAAGAUGGAAAGGAUGCUCCUGGCGCUCGGAUCAAGAUGAUUGCUGGUUUUGUGCCUCAUCAGUCUGGGCCUGGAGCGUGGCUUGAGACUUCUCAGUCCUGGUUUGGCUUUCUCUGGAACUGGUGUAUAUAUGGAGAUCUAUGUUUUAUUUGUUGUUUGUCUUUUCCCACAAUGCUACCACAGGUGUAGCUUUCAGCUAGUCUGGGAGAUAUGCUAGGAUCAUUGAUUAUAUAUUUAAGAUAGAACUUGUUUUAAGGUGUUGAUGAUUCAUAAGAAAUGCGUGGUUGUCCUGGUUUAGCACCCUGUUCUGCACCCUGUUGUCUCUUCUCUAAAGCAGAAAUCAUAAUUAAAAAGAGAAAAACAACCCAUACCAGCAAAUUAAAUUAUAAUUAUUUAUUGUUAAACACAAAUUUAAAUCUGAUGAUUGUUUGCCUGCAUAAUUAUUUGUCCCAAAUAUUAUUUUAUAUUGAAAAGACUUUGGAGGAUUGUUUGUGAUUUAUUUUUUUUUAAGAAAAUGAGAUAUGCAGUUACGUCGUGCUGUGUAAAUAACUGUCUAUUCCAAUACUUGUCAAGUUUCGAUAAAAUUUUUGUUCAUGUAUCUCAUGAUCUCAGUAAAGUAUUUCUCAUAUUACUCUCUGAGCUAAUGAUUAUUUGUGUUUGUAGAUGAGGUAUUCAAGCAGAUCAGGUAACAUGUCUGUGCUCACAUUAAGUCUGUUCUACAGUUGGAAAUUCAUCCUGAUUCCUCUAAAAUCCUUGGCUGUCAGCCUAACCACUUAAAGUUUACUUCCCCUGAGAUAAAGCCACCCUAAACCAGUUUUAAGCUGUAUUUAAGCCCUCUGACAUACUGUAAGAGAUAAUACAGCUUUUGACUUCUUACUUUUCUGCUGUUUUGGGAUACUCAUUAUUGAGGGACUGGAAGGGGAUAGAUAGAUCUCUAGAUUCCUGCUGAAAUCCACAUAUGAGCUGGAAGCUGCAUGUACUGUGCAUCUCUCCUUCAUGCACUUCAAAGAUGAAAUAGGGGCUGUAGAUGUAACUUAUAAUGAAACCCAUUUACAAUAUUACCCACUUAUUCUAUGUUUGAUUUUUUUUUUAACCUUAAAACUUGUAGUAAUAAAGGUUUUGUGAAUAAAGAACUGCCUGUGUUG